UACGUAGGGUGCGAGCGUUGUCCGGAAUUAUUGGGCGUAAAGAGCUUGUAGGCGGUUUGUCGCGUCUGCUGUGAAAAUCCGGGGCUCAACCCCGGACUUGCAGUGGGUACGGGCAGACUAGAGUGUGGUAGGGGAGACUGGAAUUCCUGGUGUAGCGGUGAAAUGCGCAGAUAUCAGGAGGAACACCGAUGGCGAAGGCAGGUCUCUGGACAUUUCCUGACGCUGAGGCACGAAAGCCAGGGGAGCAAACGGG
rnacentral:rRNA from 1 species